rnacentral:rRNA from 1 species
GAGUUUGAUCCUGGCUCAGAUUGAACGCUGGCGGAAUGCUUUACACAUGCAAGUCGAACGGCAGCACGGGAGCUUGCUCCUGGUGGCGAGUGGCGAACGGGUGAGUAAUACAUCGGAACGUACCCAGUCGUGGGGGAUAACACAUCGAAAGAUGUGCUAAUACCGCAUACGACCUGAGGGUGAAAGGGGGGGAUCGCAAGACCUCUCGCGAUUGGAGCGGCCGAUGUCGGAUUAGCUAGUUGGUAGGGUAAAGGCCUACCAAGGCGACGAUCCGUAGCUGGUCUGAGAGGAUGAUCAGCCACACUGGAACUGAGACACGGUCCAGACUCCUACGGGAGGCAGCAGUGGGGAAUUUUGGACAAUGGGGGCAACCCUGAUCCAGCCAUUCCGCGUGAGUGAAGAAGGCCUUCGGGUUGUAAAGCUCUUUCGGCAGGAACGAAACGGUGUGGGCCAAUACCCUGCAUCAAUGACGGUACCUGAAGAAGAAGCACCGGCUAACUACGUGCCAGCAGCCGCGGUAAUACGUAGGGUGCGAGCGUUAAUCGGAAUUACUGGGCGUAAAGCGUGCGCAGGCGGUUGUGUAAGACAGGUGUGAAAUCCCCGGGCUUAACCUGGGAACUGCGCUUGUGACUGCACGACUAGAGUGUGGCAGAGGGGGGUGGAAUUCCACGUGUAGCAGUGAAAUGCGUAGAGAUGUGGAGGAACACCGAUGGCGAAGGCAGCCCCCUGGGUUAACACUGACGCUCAUGCACGAAAGCGUGGGUAGCAAACAGGAUUAGAUACCCUGGUAGUCCACGCCCUAAACGAUGCCAACUAGGUGUUGGGGAAGGAGACUUCCUUAGUACCGUAGCUAACGCGUGAAGUUGGCCGCC